UACGGGGGGGGCAAGCGUUGUUCGGAUUUACUGGGCGUAAAGGGCUCGUAGGCGGCCAACUAAGUCAUACGUGAAAUCCCUCGGCUUAACCGGGGAACUGCGUCUGAUACUGGAUGGCUUGAGUUCGGGAGAGGGAUGCGGAAUUCCAGGUGUAGCGGUGAAAUGCGUAGAUAUCUGGAGGAACACCGGUGGCGAAGGCGGCAUCCUGGACCGAUACUGACGCUGAGGAGCGAAAGCCAGGGGAGCAAACGGG
rnacentral:rRNA from 1 species